UGCAGUCGACGAUGAUGCCCAGCUUGCUGGGUGGAUUAGUGGCGAACGGGUGAGUAACACGUGAGUAACCUGCCCCUGACUCUGGGAUAAGCGUUGGAAACGACGUCUAAUACUGGAUAUGACUGCCGGCCGCAUGGUCUGGUGGUGGAAAGAUUUUUUGGUUGGGGAUGGACUCGCGGCCUAUCAGCUUGUUGGUGAGGUAAUGGCUCACCAAGGCGACGACGGGUAGCCGGCCUGAGAGGGUGACCGGCCACACUGGGACUGAGACACGGCCCAGACUCCUACGGGAGGCAGCAGUGGGGAAUAUUGCACAAUGGGCGAAAGCCUGAUGCAGCAACGCCGCGUGAGGGAUGACGGCCUUCGGGUUGUAAACCUCUUUU
rnacentral:rRNA from 1 species